rnacentral:rRNA from 1 species
UACAGAGGGGGCGAGCGUUGUCCGGAAUUAUUGGGCGUAAAGAGCUUGUAGGCGGUCUGUCGCGUCUGCUGUGAAAAUCCGGGGCUCAACCCCGGACUUGCAGUGGGUACGGGCAGACUAGAGUGUGGUAGGGGAGACUGGAAUUCCUGGUGUAGCGGUGAAAUGCGCAGAUAUCAGGAGGAACACCGAUGGCGAAGGCAGGUCUCUGGGCCACUACUGACGCUGAGAAGCGAAAGCAUGGGGAGCGAACAGG